rnacentral:tRNA from 1 species
GGGUCAACGCCCGAGUGGCUCAUGGGGGCGGAUUGUAAAUC